UGCAAAAAUGCGUCGGAGCCAGCCGCCUAAGGUGGGACAGAUGAUUGGGGUGAAGUCGUAACAAGGUAGCCGUAUCGGAAGGUGCGGCUGGAUCACCUCCUUU
rnacentral:rRNA from 1 species